AAACUAGUAUGUCUUCCUUACAUGCGAUGGCAUAACAGACGAUGGAAAAAACUUGCCAUCAACAAGUACAUCAUUCCUGAUAACUGGUUCACUUAAAGCCUGCAGUUUCAAAGUUAACAACAUUCUAAUAUUGGAUGCAAGCAAGCAAACUUCGCAGAGCUAUAGGCUUCCAUAUCCAGCAAUAAGCAGGAAAUUACACAGUUACAUCCUAUCCUCCCUCCUCCGCGGAGCACAAGUGAUGAUCUCGUCAACUCUCAGUAUCAUCUCAGCAGCUUCCGUUGCAGAUAGCAGCACCGCCUGCUUCACUUUGAACGCUUCUGAAAUCCCAAGUUUCUCCAUAUCACCGACACCGCCAGAUAUGACAUCAAUUCCUGAACAGCUAUUCUCCUUGUGAUGCUCCGCACGAAGCUGGGAAAUCAGCUCGGCACUGUCCAGGCCAGCAUUGUCAGCUAUGGUGGUAGGUAUUGUUUGGAGAGCACGUGAGAAGGCUUCAAUGGCAUGAGAUUUCUUUCCUGGAGUCCUGCGGGCAAGUUCGUCCACCUCCUUGGCCAUCACCAUCUCCGGCCAUCCACCACCAAGUAAGACCCUACUAUCAAUUACUG
rnacentral:misc_RNA from 1 species